rnacentral:rRNA from 1 species
UGAGGAAUAUUGGUCAAUGGAGGCAACUCUGAACCAGCCAUGCCGCGUGAAGGAUUAAGGUCCUCUGGAUUGUAAACUUCUUUUAUAGACGAAGAAACCCCAUUAUUCUUAGUGGGUUGACGGUACUCUAUGAAUAAGCACCGGCUAACUCCGUGCCAGCAGCCGCGGUAAUACGGAGGGUGCAAGCGUUAUCCGGAUUCACUGGGUUUAAAGGGAGCGUAGGUGGGUUGGUAAGUCAGCGGUGAAAUCCCCAAGCUUAACUUGGGAACUGCCAUUGAUACUAUCAAUCUUGAAUUCUGUGGAGGUAAGCGGAAUAUGUCAUGUAGCGGUGAAAUGCUUAGAUAUGACAUAGAACACCGAUAGCGAAGGCAGCUUACUACGCAGAUAUUGACACUGAGGCUCGAAAGCGUGGGGAUCAAACAGG